UACGGAGGAUCCGAGCGUUAUCCGGAUUUAUUGGGUUUAAAGGGUGCGUAGGUGGAUUGGUAAGUCAGUGGUGAAAGUUUGCAGCUUAACUGUAACAGUGCCGUUGAUACUGGGGAGCUAGGAUUUGGUUGCUGUGGGUGGAAUGUGUGGUGUAGCGGUGAAAUGCUUAGAGAUCACACAGAACACCGAUUGCGAAGGCAGCUCACAAAGCCACAUCUGACGCUGAGGCACGAAAGCGUGGGGAGCAAACAGGAUUA
rnacentral:rRNA from 1 species